rnacentral:rRNA from 1 species
CGGUAACAGAUCCAGCUUGCUGGAUGCUGACGAGCGGCGGACGGGUGAGUAAUGCAUAGGAAUCUGCCCGGUAGUGGGGGAUAACCUGGGGAAACCCAGGCUAAUACCGCAUACGUCCUACGGGAGAAAGGGGGCUUCGGCUCCCGCUAUCGGAUGAGCCUAUGUCGGAUUAGCUAGUUGGUGAGGUAACGGCUCACCAAGGCCACGAUCCGUAGCUGGUCUGAGAGGAUGAUCAGCCACAUCGGGACUGAGACACGGCCCGAACUCCUACGGGAGGCAGCAGUGGGGAAUAUUGGACAAUGGGGGGAACCCUGAUCCAGCCAUGCCGCGUGUGUGAAGAAGGCCCUCGGGUUGUAAAGCACUUUCAGCGAGGAAGAACGCCUAGCGGUUAAUACCCGCUAGGAAAGACAUCACUCGCAGAAGAAGCACCGGCUAACUCCGUGCCAGCAGCCGCGGUAAUACGGAGGGUGCAAGCGUUAAUCGGAAUUACUGGGCGUAAAGCGCGCGUAGGUGGCUUGAUAAGCCGGUUGUGAAAGCCCCGGGCUCAACCUGGGAACGGCAUCCGGAACUGUCAAGCUAGAGUGCAGGAGAGGAAGGUAGAAUUCCCGGUGUAGCGGUGAAAUGCGUAGAGAUCGGGAGGAAUACCAGUGGCGAAGGCGGCCUUCUGGACUGACACUGACACUGAGGUGCGAAAGCGU